rnacentral:rRNA from 1 species
UUAACUGGUGCUUGCACCGACUUAAACAACUGAGUGGCGAACGGGUGAGUAACACGUGGGUAACCUGCCCCAAAGCGGGGGAUAACAUUUGGAAACAGAUGCUAAUACCGCAUAACCACAGAAACCACAUGGUUUCUGUGUCAAAGAUGGUUUCGGCUAUCACUUUGGGAUGGACCCGCGGCGUAUUAGCUAGUUGGUAAGGUAAUGGCUUACCAAGGCAAUGAUACGUAGCCGAACUGAGAGGUUGAUCGGCCACAUUGGGACUGAGACACGGCCCAAACUCCUACGGGAGGCAGCAGUAGGGAAUCUUCCACAAUGGACGAAAGUCUGAUGGAGCAACGCCGCGUGAGUGAAGAAGGUUUUCGGAUCGUAAAACUCUGUUGUCAGAGAAGAACGUGUGCGAGAGUAACUGUUCGUGCAGUGACGGUAUCUGGCCAGAAAGCCACGGCUAACUACGUGCCAGCAGCCGCGGUAAUACGUAGGUGGCAAGCGUUGUCCGGAUUUAUUGGGCGUAAAGGGAACGCAGGCGGUCUUUUAAGUCUGAUGUGAAAGCCUUCGGCUUAACCGAAGUCGUGCAUUGGAAACUGGGAGACUUGAGUGCAGAAGAGGAGAGUGGAACUCCAUGUGUAGCGGUGAAAUGCGUAGAUAUAUGGAAGAACACCAGUGGCGAAAGCGGCUCUCUGGUCUGUAACUGACGCUGAGGUUCGAAAGCGUGGGUAGCAAACAGGAUUAGAUACCCUGGUAGUCCACGCUGUAAACGAUGAAUGCUAAGUGUUGGGAGGGUUUCCGCCCUUCAGUGCCGCAGCAAACGCAUUAAGCAUUCCGCCUGGGGAGUACGACCGCAAGGUUGAAACUCAAAGGAAUUGACGGGGGCCCGCACAAGCGGUGGAGCAUGUGGUUUAAUUCGAAGCGACGCGAAGAACCUUACCAGGUCUUGACAUCUUCUGAUAGCCUAAGAAGAUUAGGUGUUCCCUUCGGGGAC